CUUGAAAAUCAAAUUCAAUUAAUAGAAUUAGUGGAAAACACGGUGCAGAAUCGCAAUUCGACUUUGAAUAUGAAGAAGUAAAAUUAAAAUGGAUACAUAGUGCAUGUGAUGAAGACUGCAGUCCUUGGGAAUCAUUUCAUGAGGGAAAAGGCAGGAGUUGGAUGUACCCCUGCCCCAAAGCUUUCAAAUAUGUGAGCAAACAAGAGAAUGAUGAGGCAAUGAAGGAGAGGGCCCCCAGCAGCCUCCAGGACAGGCUCUGGACCCCCUCCUGUGAGGCUGAAUUGGACUAGCAGGUUCAGAAAAUGGAUGGAUGGAUGUAUGUAUUUACGACGUCUGGAUUAGCACAGAGUUACAGAUUCACACAGAAAGACCAGGACUGCAGCUGGGGCCAGAAGCCAAGACCUCAAGGUAUCUUGGACAGAGUCUGUCAUUUCAGGCAGUCAUGCAGUACUACUCUGUAAAAAUACUUUCGAAGUCUUCAAGGAAGAAGAACAAGAGUAACCCUAUUCAUCUCUAUGGCUAGCUGAUGUGUCCCUCAUUCCAGCAUCAUUUCACAUGGUCCUCUUCUCCCUCCUCAGAAGAAGGUGGGGCAAGUCCCUCUCCACAAAGCUGGCCUUUGAUGUUGUUGUUUUUGCAUGUCGUAUCACCCCAUCAUUUGAAUAUCACAGGCUGGGCUCUCGCACCCGGCCGUUCGCUGGGUCUUUGUUGGCUGAUUAAAGCAGGUGUCACAGAAGGAAUGUGUUUGCCGAUGACUUUUCACAUUUAAAUAGCUGUCACUUCGCAGU